ACCCGCCAGCCCCUUCCCUCCCGCUGGGAGACUCUCAGGGGAAAGCCCCGCCCUGCACCCACUCACACACACCCCCACACACACACUGAACCCCAGGACCCCGACACUCAUCACACUGCCACUGAAGACGGGAGGGAGCCAGGGGACAGCGCACCGCCAGCUCGGCUCACCCUGGCCACGCGGUGACGCCUGGUGCUGCCGACCCUGGUGCUGCCGCGGGCCUGCUGUGCAGACGGCCCGCCACGGCUCCUGGGACCCACCUCCCACGCGAGCGCAGCAGACAAGCCCAUCUGCAGCUUCUCUGAGAGAAACCUUGAGUGUCCACCGUGUCGGUGAGCGCCAUGGUGACAUGCCCCUCGCGAGGCCGUGGAACCUGGAGCUCCGUGUUUGUCAACAAAGUGCACUCGAGGCAGGGGAUGGCAUUGUACCACUGUGCGGCGAUGCCAGGGGAGACGCCCGUCCCGGGAAACCCUGGCUUCCCUGCGCUGCAGAGCAGUCGGGGCAAGCCGGCGGCCACGGGUGCAGGGACCCCAACGGUGUGGCCACCGCCGGGGGGGCUCCUGGAGGGCUUCCCGGAAACCACGCCCGCUGCACGGCCACACAUGUGUCAGGAACUUCC
rnacentral:lncRNA from 1 species